rnacentral:misc_RNA from 1 species
GAUGAAGAACGUAGCGAAAUGCGAUACUUGGUAUGAAUUGCAGAAUCCCGUGAACCAUCGAGUCUUUGAACGCAAGUUGCGCCCGAAGCCACUAGGCCGAGGGCACGCCUGCCUGGGCGUCACACGUCGUUGCCCCCCCCCCAUCUACUCCUUCGGGAUUGCGGGGGGCGGAUGAUGGCCUCCCGUGCGCCUAGCCGCGCGGUUGGCAUAAAUACCAAGUCCUCGGCGACGCACGCCACGACAAUCGGUGGUUGCGAAACCUCGGUUGCCCGUCGUGUGCGUUCGUCGCGCAUCGAGGGCUCGAAAAAAUGCUCGGCUCCGGCUCGGCUUUCAACGCGACCCCAGGUCAGGCGGGGUUACCCGCUGAAUUUAAGCAUAUCAAUAAGCGGAGGA